rnacentral:rRNA from 1 species
GACGAACGCUGGCGGUGUGCUUAACACAUGCAAGUCGAACGGUAAGGCCCUUUCGGGGGUACACGAGUGGCGAACGGGUGAGUAACACGUGAGUAACCUGCCCUCAUCUCUGGGAUAACAGUCGGAAACGGUUGCUAAUACUGGAUAUGAGCCUGCAAGGCAUCUUGUGGGUUGGAAAGAUUUUUUGGUUGGGGAUGGACUCGCGGCCUAUCAGCUUGUUGGUGAGGUAGUGGCUCACCAAGGCUUCGUCGGGUAGCCGGCCUGAGAGGGCGACCGGCCACAUUGGGACUGAGAUACGGCCCAAACUCCUACGGGAGGCAGCAGUGGGGAAUAUUGCACAAUGGACGGAAGUCUGAUGCAGCAACGCCGCGUGCGGGAUGACGGCCUUCGGGUUGUAAACCGCUUUCAAUUGUGACGAAGCUUUUUGUGACGGUAGCAGUAGAAGAAGCACCGGCUAACUACGUG